GCAGGUGGGCAUGUGGCCUCACUGCUGAGCAGAUGCCAGCCUAGGAUGGGGGCCAAGACUUCCCCAUCACAGCUGCAGGUGGGUUGGGAGAAGGGAGGCUGGGACUGGGGCAUCACAGAGAGGGUUUUUGUACGAGCCUAUGUCACGGUGUUGGGUGUUCGGCGGAGGGACCCAGCUGACCAUCCUAGAUCAGCCCAAGGCCUCGCCCUCAGCCACUCUGUUCCCGCCGUCUUCUGAAGAGCUCCAGGACAACAAGGCCACACUGGUGUGUCUCAUAAGUGACUUCUACCCGGGCACCGUGGUUGUGGCCUGGAAGGAAGAUGGUAACGCCAUCACCCAGGGAGUGCAGACCACCAAGCCCUCCAAACAGAGCAACAACAAGUAUGCUGCCAGCAGCUACUUGACCCUGACGCCUGCCCAGUGGAAGUCUCAUAACAGCUACAGCUGCCAGGUCACACACGAGGGGAGCACUGUGGAGAAGAAGGUGGCCCCUGCAGAGUGUGCUUAGGGACCUGAGCUUCCGUACCCAGGAGGGCCCAGAGGGGCUAGACUCUGGGUAGGGAUUCUCCCAUCCACACACCCCUUCUCCCACAACUCCCCACAGUGUCCCUACACCCCCACCCUGCGUCAGCUCAGACCUGGGUGGACCCUACAACCUCCCCAUGUCUAUUUCUUCUCAGUAAAGAUCUGACAUUAUCAUCCAAUGUGUCCGAUGAUCAUCUGUGU